UAGGAGAUUCAGAGUGUAUAAUGGUAUC
rnacentral:piRNA from 1 species